AGUGAACGCUGGCGGUAGGCCUAACACAUGCAAGUCGAACGGCAGCACAGUAAGAGCUUGCUCUUACGGGUGGCGAGUGGCGGACGGGUGAGGAAUACAUCGGAAUCUACUUUUUCGUGGGGGAUAACGUAGGGAAACUUACGCUAAUACCGCAUACGACCUACGGGUGAAAGCAGGGGAUCUUCGGACCUUGCGCGAUUGAAUGAGCCGAUGUCGGAUUAGCUAGUUGGCGGGGUAAAGGCCCACCAAGGCGACGAUCCGUAGCUGGUCUGAGAGGAUGAUUCGCCCCACUGGAACUGGGACACGGGCCCGGCUCCUACGGGAGGGAGCCGUUGGGAAUUUUGGACAAUGGGCGCAAGCCUGAUCCAGCCAUACCGCGUGGGUGAAGAAGGCCUUCGGGUUGUAAAGCCCUUUUGUUGGGAAAGAAAAGCAGCAGGUUAAUACCCCGCUGUUCUGACGGUACCCAAAGAAUAAGCACCGGCUAACUUCGUG
rnacentral:rRNA from 1 species